GAUCGGGAUAACACCUGGAAACAGAUGCUAAUACCGGAUAACAACAGAUGAUGCCUAUCAACUGUUUAAAAGAUGGUUCUGCUAUCACUCUUGGAUGGACCUGCGGUGCAUUAGCUAGUUGGUAGGGUAACGGCCUACCAAGGCGAUGAUGCAUAGCCGAGUUGAGAGACUGAUCGGCCACAUUGGGACUGAGACACGGCCCAAACUCCUACGGGAGGCAGCAGG
rnacentral:rRNA from 1 species